CAAUUAUAAUGUACGCGCGCGCACCGAAUGCGGAGUUUGUGCGAGAAAAUCACUUCAGUUCAGUAGUACACUGUUCCCCGACGGUACCAUCAAUAUUCCAUAAAACAUGUGUGCCUCUACCUCAAGUGAUGUUCGUGCAGGCUCCACUUCACUACUGCUAAGCUCCACCUACCCGAACAUUUACCCAGGGAGCUCCGGCUGCGAAGCGGGCCUGAGCCAGACUUAGACAUGGGACUAGGGUAGACUGGAACCUCAAAAAAGCGAAAAGUUCUGUUGCGAUACCCCUCCUAAUUUUUUCAAAAUUCAUUACAAAAUGGCCGAUCGAGACUGGGGCAGAAGGACAGAACUUUUCUUUUUUUUCGAGGUUCCAGUCUGUGCCUCGAUGUCAGGAUACUGCCACAUGAUAGACCUUCAUCCAUAUAAUCGUGGAACUUGCAAGAUUGCAAUCACAACAUCCCUUUAUGCGACUAGUGUAGAGACUUGAAAUUGGUACUUCCAAGAAUGCAGAAUCACAACCUCACCUCACUUUAUGCGACUAGUGUAGAGACUUAAAGUUGGCAUUUAUCUGAUCACCGGAUCUCGGCCUCCUUUCCCUUUACCAGUUUAAGACUAGACUAGGUAUAUCAUACAGAUUGUGAGCAGAGAUAAAGAAAGAAGGACAGACUGGAAGGAGGCAGAAGUCCAAGCACUCUGCUUUUUAGCAGCAUUGAACAAGAAAUCCCUCUUUUAAUUUGGAGUAAUGGUGAGUUGCAAUGCAUGAUUCAAU